CCACCCCUGAUGUCAUCGGCGGUGUUUUUUUGAAGCAGGAUGAAAGUCCGUUUGAAAGCCGCCCCGCUCAUAAAUCAAAUUGACAUCUCCAACAAAGAAAAGCACUCGGUCGCGAUUGCCGCCACGAAUAGAGAGAAGUCAACUUGGAUCAAGCCGUCAGCUCAGACGGUGAAUGAUGUCUUACUCCGAAAGCGUCAGCUACGGAAUUGUAGCACUCAUACUACCUCUAGUGUUCAGUAUGUGAAUUGCAUUGUUGUUAAACAGACUUAAAAGGGGCCUUACUGAAAGACUGGCAUUAAAAAUAACCGGAACAAUCACCUAUGUGAAUGAACAGCCAAAUUUUUAUGCACAUUAAUUUUCAGUUGUUGUGCACUGGUGUAUUGCAUGCAGCAGGUGCAUCUCUGUUUUUAUGUCCUGUACUGGGCAAGUGUGCUGCCAGGUGACAGGUGUGCUGCCAGGUGACAGGUGUGCUGCCUGGUGACAGGUGUGCUGCCUGGUGACAGGUGUGCCGCGUGGCGAGUCAUGGCAAUUGGCAGGAGGCUGCCAGUAUCUUGGAGGUUGCCUGGCUCUUACGUUUCGAGGGUGCGGUCCUCCACCGAGGCUGGGUGCAGAGGUCUGGGGGGGUCUGCCUCACUGAGUACUGUCAGACACACAGGAAGGCCUGUUUACACUUUUGCUCUGAUGUUUUUUGCCUCGUUUUUAUGCACUUAACUCCAGCAAAAAUUCAAAAGUAGGUGAAUGUGAAUCACAAAGGUGCCUGGUUUCUUUGAGAAAGAAAGAUCUCUUCUACAAAGAAUUCUCCAAAAAGUAAGUUUGUCAGGAGCUGUAUUAGUCAGUGCAUGUGCUGUGCAAGUUCGACAACAUAAACAUAAGAAUGCUGGAUCCGUAAAAUACAAAACUAGUGGUAUUUAAUUCAUGCAACAGCAUUUAGACAAACUGAAGUCCUGUGCUGUAGAACAUUAUUGUGUAACUUUACAGUACAGCGGUCACAGAUGGCUUUGUGAUUUGAUAAUUCUGUACCUGAAUUUGCUUGGAUUUUCAGCAUCCAUUUCUUCAUCAGAAACCGGGAGGAGGCACUGAGAAGGUAUUCAGACCCAUCCCGUAGGCUGGGGUGACAGAGAGUGAUAUUGGCUGGAGGGUCGAAGCACCCAGGGACUUGGCUUAACACAGCGUGAGCCUGGUGUACGACGUGGUGAAGGGUCAUGGAUGACUGAGGGAAGUUUCAUUCGCUCACCGUAGGCUGAAACAGUUGGCCCGUUUGCUGUACUCGGGAACUGGCACGCAUUCAGCUCCGGUGACAUUCAGGGGCAGCCCGGCCACGGAGCUCUGCGCGAUGACCACAGCACGGGAAAGUUACAGACAUGGUGUGUAGACUUGUAUAAGCUGUUUUUUAAAAUUUAGCCAUGUUUUAAGACAAGACCGGGUUCUGAUUAUGGGAUCAGCUCAUGAAUGUUAAUUUAUGGUAAACUUUUGUAACGGGUGUUUCUCUGCCCAGUGCUUGGGGACUCCCCCAGACAUUCUUCCUGUCUUCACAAUGCCCCUGUACCAGGUAUUCCUUUUCUUGAUUACUUGUUUGUUUGGUUCAGGUAUGUUGGGAGCUGAAGGGAGCAAAAAUGUGAACUGUCUGGGGGUCCACGUGAACGGAGCUGAGAAACUCUGGGUGAAUUUUGUUAUGCGUACUUGUGUUCUUGUGUACCUAUUUUAUGUCAUCUUCCAUUGCCGAAGACCAUUUCCAAUACUAAGAACACUAGUGCAGACGAUGGUAAAAAUCCCCGGAUGUCAUUCUUGCUCCGCCCCAAAUAUCAAGGAUCCAUCAGUUGCAUCCUCGCCAAAUGUGACCAAUCCCAUGAUUCACUGCACCCCAAGUUUGUUUUUGGAAGACAGUUAAGCAAGACCAAUCUUGACAAGACCACAAGUAUGAUCUUUGCAUUCAUGGUAUUGAGAAAUACCCACUCAGUCUAUAUGCCCUUGCACAGUCACAGUGGCUAUGUUUAUAAGGACUCUGUGUAUUGUGGGCAUACAUGUACAUGGGCAGCUCCUGAUGAAGCAUGAGGAUUCACACCCCCUGGCCACACGGUCCCCCCAGCCCCCAUCUAUCAGAUUUACCUUCAGUGUGUCCUUCCGGUCUUGGUAGAAGCAAAGUGUCUGCCUGAACAGGAUGGCAUGGUAUGUGCUCCAGGCACGACAUGGAGCCUGCAAGGAGUAGAGCAUCGGGUCAGUGACAAAUGGCUGAAGAGACCAAAGAGGUUUCAGAAUCACUGGAGAUAAAAUAUAGCUGUAUUAAACUGAGGCUCCUCCCAUGGGACCCACCCACCAAAACUGUGAAGCCCUUCCUCUUACCCUCUUCCCUCCUAAUUGCAGCUUGUGCUUCCUCUCCAACGUCCCCUCCAUUGACUGGAACUCAGGCUUCCUCCCAUUCUGAAACAGGAUUGUAUGCAGAACUUUAUUUAUAUGAUUUUUUUGUUAGCAGCAUAUGGCCAAUCAUAGCCUCUUUUGCCUUCUGUACAGAUCGAUAUCUACUUGGGCUGGCUGGUACCACACUUAAGGGAACAAGAACGGUUCUAAUCCAUUAAUCUGAAAUUGGGGGUUGCUUCAAAUAAAUUUUUCUUAUUCUAAUCUUAUUUUGAAAUUUCACUGUAGAAGUGUAUUGUCUAUCAGAAAAGCGAGAAGCUGUUUCAUACCAUUGAGUUACAGCGCCUUCCUGGGCUGGUUGUUUUUCCGUGUUCAUCUCUGUCACAGUCCGAGCCAAUUGCCGGACAGCGAUCUUCCUCUAGACCCAUGUGAACUGAGAACAGGCUCAUGGACUGGCCCUGUGGAGUGUUCAGAUGUUUUGACUUGUAAGGUCAAAAUAGAAAAUGCUCAGUCAAAUCUGUCUCUUGUUUGACCACUAGAUGGGGCCAGAGAUUAAAUAGUCGAGUAUUAUAUUUUUAGGUGCAUUACGAAUAGGUGAGGAUAUAGAAAGUGAACAGAGCAAAUAUUUAGGUAAAACAUCGAAACAUUAAAUCAUUUAUACAAAACAUUGAUAGAGUAAAUAUUGCAGUAUGUCCUGGACAUAAAUAUGGUUACAUUGAUAAACUUGAAAUUGUAUAGCUAUAAAAUAUAAAUAGACCUAGAACCUUUACUGGCAAUUGGGCAUAUUUAGUGAAACCAACACCUUUGUUAUGACGUCCUCUUGUGUUUGUGUUGUGAACUGUUGCCACAGAAACACAAACACAGAAACACUGCAGGUGGAUCAACUAGCAUGUGGGGAUUUCAUUGAUUUUUCUUUUUGUGAAGAUGGCCCUCACCUUCGGACAACCUGUGCCCUCUUUCAAAUCCUUAUCCUCCUCCUCCUCCUCCUCCUCCUCUCUGUAAUGGUAGAUGUAUUUUUCCUGGUCCUCUGUGUCAGGCAGCUUCAUGGAAUGGGAGGCUGUCUCGUUUACCAGUGAUACCUGCCUGCUCAUUGGCUCUUUCUCGGGGAAUGCAGCCCAGGACCUCCUGUCCCCCUUGGAAAGGCUCUUGCUCUCUCUUUUUGGAUCUUUGUUGUAGCCUAAUAGAGACUGGACCGAAGGUGGUAGCCUGAACUCUGCUACCAGAAGGUUGGGUGCUGAGGCAGUCACAAGUUUUCUGUAGAGCAUGGCCUGACCCUGGGUGCGUGCUUCUUGGGGCUGGCUGGCUGGAGAGUUUGUUGUCUCUUCCUGGUGUGUCUGGUACAUGAUGUCAGAGCAUAUGCUCUGCCGGUAGCUGUUGGUCUGAUUCCAGAUGUCCUGCAGCUCUUCUUCCUCCUCCUCAAACUGCUGAUGGUCUGGAUGGACAUUGUCCUCUGCAGUGGGUAAUACCUUCAUCUUGAAGCCAGUAGGAUCCCCAUCACAGUUAUCUGUCUGUACAAAUAUUGCUUUACCCACCACCCCCCUAAGGAGGUUAGACGGCACUUGGUGUGCCGCUUCAGUGCAGAUCCUCAUGUUCUCUGAUCUAUGUGCUCCCAAGCCUACUGAACUCUCCAUCCCACCUGCAGAACCCCUGGGGCUCUUGCGAAUAUUGGAGGCUACAUUUGCGCCUGAGAUGGAAUUCUUGUGGUACCGAUGUUCUUUGAGGUCCUGAACUUUGGUGUGGACACUUGGACACAUAUGGUUCACAGAAACUACAGUAGAUUUGUCGCAAUUAACAUCCUUGUUAAGGUGUUCUUUCUCUCUAAGCACAGAUGGCAUAAAGCUUUCACUGGGCAUGGGUUCACUGAAGUCCAGAAUGACAGCCAUUUUGUCCUGUUCUUGACUUAGUUGUUCAUGUUGGCCACUGACAUCUGAGAGACAACUCAACUGGAGAUCUGAUAGGUCACUGCUGACUGUGGUCUGACUCUGAUUCUGAGAAGGCUUAACUCUUUCUGGAGGUGGAAUGCCAUGGGAUAUAACAGGAGUGGUCAACUUCCCUGUUGGGCUGGGUUUGGAUGCUUCUCCUCGGCAGACAGGCGGUGAACGUGUUUGUUUGAAUGUAGUCAUUGUCGUGUGUCUCUCCGUGUAAGAAUAGCGGCCGUUGGGGUCAAGGGGGUCCGUGUAAUUUCUGAGGUGGUCUGUUCCUUUAGGAUCUGCAGGGAAAAUGGUUAUGACAUCGGGGAUGCUGGGGAUCAAGCUGAAAUCUUUGGGCAGGUCAAAGCUCAGUAUGGACCCCAGAGACAGGUAUCUGCAGUGGUUCUUGCCAUGCUCUGCCGGGGUUGAACCUGGGCUUUUCUCUACACCAGGCUGGACAGGAAGUGAGUCUCCUGUACAUUCAGCAUCUAUGUCCUUCAAUAUGGGGUUCUUCACAUAGUCCUGGGUCUCCGUGCCACUUGAGGAGGCUACUUCUUUUGAGACCUUCUUCCUCUCCUUUAGAGGCCAAGUGUUUGUGCUGUGUAUAACUUGCUGGACCAAAGAGGGGGGCACAGAUUUUGCCAGCUCCUCCCCCAUUACCCUCUGGAUGGUGUGCCUCCUCUCCUCGCCCUUCCUCUUCCGCUUCUUGCUCCUCCUCUUCAGGCUGUCGAUGACGGAGCUGGGGCUGCUCUUAAGCAGAGAGGAAGAGGAGCCCGAGGAGGAUGAGGAAGCCAUUGGCACCUUAACCUUAGUGGCACUGCGGGGCAGAGUAAUGUUCUCGUACUCAGAAGAGGCGGCUUUGUUGUCCUUAACAUGCAAGUAGGUACUCACCUGAAAAGGAAAGAAAAGAGCACUUUUCAGCACUGACGUUCUGGGUUCCUGAUAACUACCGUGAAUGCGAUUAUUCCGGGUUAUCCAAGAAAAGCCCCAUGCUCACAAUAGCAGCCUUGCAUUCUUCCGAAGACACAGACAUGUUUUUAUUACACAUCAGACUAGAACAGGAACACUUGGCCACACUGCUGUACAAGACACGAGAACCUGAGUAAGAUAGACAAGAACUGGCUGGAAAUGUCCGCGACUACGGAAUAGAAAAGUACAGGACACAGGCUGUUCUGUCCCAAGUCAAGAUGCGAGUCUGCUGUAAAACUGAACAGAGACACCAGUGGAAGUCACUCAACAGUCUCCUAUCAGAACCUCACCCACAGCAUUUCACACAGUCUGUUUUGAUUGUGUCUGUGUUAUCCUGGCAGCUCACUUUCUUAAAUUAUAAAUGAUAUUCUUUCCCAUAUAUUCUUCUCAUCUUGACAUCACACUCUGGCCAUCUCUUGCUAAGGACCAUGUUAAGGUGCUAUUCAUGGGGAGUGAUGCACGCAGUCACUCCACAGGACGGCGCACUGAGCACUUCUGGCCUGACGUCAGGCCCGUGUCUGCAUUUCGUAGGAAUGACAUCCUGGGGACUGAAUAGAAUGGGUUUGAUGACAGACGAUAAGUAUAGUAACCAAAAUGUGACUGAAUCUGUUUGCCAUGCUGGCAUGUCCAUAGCGGUCGCAGUGAUGUGUGGAAGUUCUUCCCCGGAACAACAGCUAUUCGAUACAAGCGGAACCUUUUUGGCCAAGCGUAUAAAACAAUAUGAGAUAAAUGCUCGUAAAACAGUGGUUGAGGCAGGAACUGACAUGUGGUGAACUUUGUAGGCAAAAACUGCCUGGAGUAAUUGUGGUUGUCUUUGCCGCUUUCUGUGUUGUCAUGUAUUUGGGGUCACCACAAAUAUCACAUAUAUGUGGAAGCCUGCACCACCGCAAGGACCCAUAGUGUAGGGGGAACUGGAUUCAAGACUGACAGGUUGCAUGUUUAAAUCCUGAUGGGGUUUAAACCAGAUUUCUUCAGCAGGAAAUGUAAAUGGUUGAACUGUAAGCUGUGCAAGCUUAGAAUGUAAGAAAAACAUGUGCAUAAGUUACGGUCUUUUCUCACCACUCCGGUUUGUGAAGUACAUUUAAAACAGAUCCGGACUUCAUGUUUGUACGUUAUAUUUUAUAAAUCUGAAGUUUACUGUCACUGGUCCAAGGUACAUACUUUCUGUUGUUUUCUAACGAAUGAUUCUUGAUGAUAUUUUCAGGUAUGUUGGGCCAUCAGUUGGGCUUCAGUUUCUUUUGCUAGGCCUUGUUGUGUUGUGGACCGACCAAAGGCUACAGCAGUGUGCUUUCCCACCAUUGUGUUGUCGAAACACACUGGGAAUCUCGUUCAUUGGAUCUGCGGGAUACACUGCCCCCUGCAGGCGAUGGGUUUUCUCUUAACUGCUAACCAAGUCUAUGGCUUAUUGAAAAAGCAGUUCUUACAGUAAGCAGUAUGUGUUUUGUGACCUAUGAGAGACUCAGUGUGAGAGGCCCGUUUUUAAAUCUGUGCUUUUUGUCUGAGGUAAGGAAACAGGUCAGGAGUAGAAAUAACUGUGCCAGAGACACUUGAGUAAAAGUGGGCUUUAGGGUUUUGAAGUCUGGUGAGUCAACACAUGUCAUAGAAAUGUCAGUCUGAAAGGAAUAGAAGCACCAUGGAUUGAGUUCAUCCCUUGCAAGCAAAAGGCUUUCAUCAACAGAAACAGACAACACAACCAGUCACUGGCACCUUAACCUACCCAACAGUAACACGGUCAACCCUACUGAUGCGUAACUGUUAAGUUUUUAAAUACACAUUUUUCAGGUUCUUUUGACCGCAAAUCAACCUUCAUUUUAAUGACCAAGAGACCCCACUGAAGUGUAGCAAUAGUCCACUUUCGCCCUUGCUGUUCCAUGCAUGGCAGAGCAAAAGUGUGGCAACACUUGGACAAGGGAGGCUGUGAGAGAUGCAGUCGACAAAGACGGGGUGAGGAGACACCCUCCCCCUCACCCUGUUAGUAAGCCCCCGUCCCUCAACCACCGCCCAUGCAACACCAACCCUGGACAUGCAGCAACGCUGUUUACCUCGUCUGCACUCUGCCGGUAAAUCUUUCUCUUUCGCUUUAAACUACCGAACGUAUUUCCCAAAAGGCCCUGGCAACGGCUCCAAAAGUUUUUACAGGCAGAGGAGGGAGACUCAGCAGGCUGAGGGAAAGGGAGAGAAGAAGAGGGAGAACAAAAUAAAGAAUAUCGAGGGUGGAGGGGCGGCCAGAGGGAGGGGCUGUGGAGAUGAUGAAACUCAUCACUGAACAGAGAAAAACAUACAGAUGUCAGAUCAACACGAUACCCAAAGGCUGUGAUGUUCCUGGUUCCCCUUUAACGCACAGAUCAGAACCAUCCAUGGAUGCCCUCGGGUUCUCAAACAUGUUUUUAUCUGGCCUACCAAUCACUGUCAGCUUAAGACCUAACGCCAAGCUCUUGAUCUAUUAAACCCGAGGCAUUAUGAGAAUAUUUUCUCGCUAGCAAGGAAGGGUAUUGUUUUUAUUUGCUCCGCAAGAAUGACAUAUGAAAGAAUUUUUACUGCUUUUGAUGUGCAGGAAAUGUUCCCCCAGUUUGUGCUGCAUUCACUGUGGCUUUGGUUGACGUUCUCGGAUGGGUUAUGGAUAUUGAGCAACGAACCAUCCUCAGCAACAAACCAUUUUCAGUGGAUUGCAGUAUAUCAGCCAGGAUACUCACCCUAUGAACCGGCUCAGUGACCUCUGCCUCUUCCAUGGCUUCCUGCACCUGCAGCUGGCUGUCCCCCAUUUUACUGAAACUGAGGAUGAGGUUGACUGUGCCUCCCAGUGCAGGGGCGCUUGGCUCUUUCAUGACAAGGAAGGGUGACCUAGAUGUCUCGAUGGCCAUUGGAUCUUGAUGGGUCUCAGCGGGGGAGCCUGCACCGCUUCCUUUCUCGUUGGGACUGAUGCUGCCCAUAACCUCGUAUCCACUCUCUGACUGCUCCCAGCCGCAUCCUUCACGCCGGCCACUUGUGUCUCCGGCGGCAGCCACCUUGGCAGUCUGCUGGGUCCCGCAAUGCGGAGACACGCUCUGUGUGGGACGGAAAGUGGAAUCUGAUGUGCGGAGGAAAAACUAAAGCCAGCUGUCUAAGACGAUUAGUCAGAUAUUAGCUAACAAUCCUCUCCUUUUUACUCUCUGCCCAUUUUUCGUGUUUAUAUUAAGACCCUCUGCUUUUCUGCAUGUACUUAAUUUUAACUUGGUGCAACACAGCUUUCAGUGUUCAGUAUUACCCACUUUUACAGCUGGAAAUUUUAAGAGGAAACUCAGGUUUUCAAUUAACUUCGCCAAGGUUACAAAAUGGAGUUUCCCCUUAUGGAAAUGUUAAACUUUUUUGACAGAGGUCCAGUUCCACAGUGCCAGCAUCCCAGGGUGACUGUUUCCUGGAAGGCUGAGGCUGAGUUUGUAAGAGUAUCUCUCUACCUGUUGAGCUGGAGUACAAACUGUGGCCUCUGAGUAAAUCACAUCUUCCUUAGGCUCCAACUUUGGUUUCCCAAGAUGCCACUGGUGCUUCUGUGCUCUCCAGCGCACCAGGAUCCAUCCCAGCAUGCUCUGCAGUUCCUCUGUCCUCUCUCUGAUCUUUAGAUGUCACACACAAUAAAGAGGUCAAUGUAUGUGACAACAGAAAAGCAACCCUCAACCUAUUUUGGCACAGCACAGAGGUUUACCAUAUUGGUAAGGUGAUGCUCUUCAUCGAUGAGCUCCUGCCCAGCUGCAGCCAGGACAUCGAAUUCCUCAAACUUCUGCUCGAUCAUCAAGUCCAGUUCUGUGACGGUCGGCUCCUGGCUCGCACUCCCACGAUGCCCGACGUUGUCAAAGAUACGUGCCCGGGUGUCCUCUGUCCAUGAGCUGCAGCAGGAUCAAUGUGAAACGGUUGGUGAACACUUGGUGCAAACCUUGUCACGCUAAUGCUAACCCAUUCCUUAGCUCCCAGGAUUUCUAUCACAAGCCAGCUGUUACGAAAUCAGCAGCCUCAGAACGAAUCAAGUAAAUAAAUCAGGCCCCCACUUCUCAACCUGAUUUACAGAGAGAAUCAGUUUAAUGUCCUACAGAACGUAAUGGCGGCUGACUAAAAAUGUGAGAUUCUGCUCUGUUUUGGAUUCAAAUGAUGUAUUUCACAUAGGUGCUCCCAUGCAUUACCAUUUUAAUUUGUGAAAUAGUAUUUCAGUGAUUCACAGACAUUGAAGUGAGUAAUAUUGCAUUAUUAAUAAAAUAAUAAUUGAUGUACGAGUGAUAAAAAAUAAUAUGACAAUCUUGGAACACAAUUAAAAGACUGGGUUAUGUGUCGUCUGACCAAAAAAAAAACAGUUGUCCUUGAACAUGAGCUGAGUCACGGUGAAAGAAUGCUUUGUUCUCUGAGUGGGACGCAUGAGAGGCGAGUUCCUCUGCGUGGGCCCUAAUUCAGUUUUUGGCACAGGAUUUGCUGUAGCUCACGAGAACCUUCGUAAAAGGGGGGGGGGGGGUGUCAGCCAUCUUCCUCAGUCACUCACAUCAUGGCCAGGUAGUUCUGGAAGAAAUCCUGCAGCCGUGCGAAGUUCUGCAGCCGUGCCCGGUUCUCCGCCAUGGCCGUACCCAGCUUCUCCCAGGCCUGCAGUGUGGCUCGGGCCUCGCCGUCCAGCGCAUGCAUCCUGUCCGGGCAGAGCACCUGGAGCCAAGCUGCUGACCGCCGCGCCUCUUCCACGUCCUCUCUGAGCACCUCGUAGUCGACCUGGAGGGGAAGAACCGGGACAUGGACGCUGACCUGAGCACUGCCAGCUUCUACUGGUUUCGUCGCCCCACCAUCAACCUUCACUUUAUUCUCAUUUCGGUUCCAUUAUUUUCUGAAGUCGGUGGAAACGCAGGCAUGUUUUCAAAAGGCACCAAGCCGGAACCAGCACCGGCUCCGUGUUGGUGGAAAUGACUGCAAGUGAAGGGCCAGGCUCUGGACUGUGGAACUAGGGGGACUUUUGGAGCAUCAUUAAGGAUGGAUAAUCAUGAAAAAAUUACCUACAAAUAGUCUGAUGCAAAUCAAUAGCACUUUAUUAAUUAAGGCCUGAAUGAUAUCUGUGCUUUUUUAAAACAAAACGUUACAUCUGAGUCAGCAGACGUGACACCCCCCCCCCUUCAGUUGCAUCCCACGGUCCAUAGGCCAGAUGCUGGGUGUCACCCCACCAGUGCACACCGUCACUUCUGUCCCCUUGAUGCUAAAAAGACCCAACCCUUUAGAUGCAUCCAUCUUUUUCAUCCUAGACUGUAAUUAACAGAGCCGUGAUUUUGAUGGGAAGGGGAGAGAGCGAUUCACUACUUGUUUGCAUGUAACCCCGCCCCUACCCCCCACCCUAGCAACACGGGACUCUAGAUGCCAGUUCCAUGACCGUGGCGCUAUUUUCGUAUGAGAGAUGAGAUCAUUUUUGUUCUUUAAUGGUAUCGUAUCCAAACAGCUGUGCCUGCAUGUGAUAAACACAACAUUGCCCAAAUAUGACUCAUGCAGAAUACACCCCCCACCACGCACACGGGGCCCACCGCAAUCACCUCCCUCCAUCCCAGAGACCCUCAUGCAUGCACAAUGCAGUCCUUUGUGGGUAAUUAAAUUGGGUUCUUUCUGCGUAGGGUCAGAUGCAGCAGUUUACAUAAUUGAAUCCAACGUUAAACGAAGCGUGGACUGCCUGGACCUCUAUGGAUGGGAAGGACUUUCGGUGCAACAGGAAACAGACUGUGGGCCAUGAAAGACAUAUGAAAAGAGACCGACCCCCCCCCCCCCCCAUCACGGCACUAGUCCCUUUUAAGCUCCAAUCAUGUUGUUGCCAACGACUGGAUCAGGGGUCCAGCACGCAUGUCCUGUGUCCUUCCCCAAGCGUGUCUGUUCCCACUCACACAUCUGCAUUCAUUUUUCUCGCUGCACUAAUGACCCCCAAGCAGAAACACCCAAUGCUCAUGCUGGACAGCACAUGGCGUCGUGGAGUAGGGUUCACAGGGUCAGAGGUCAGGAGGUCACCUCCAGCUCAUCUUGCUGCUCCCGCAGCCUGUGCAGGCCACAGCGGUGCGGCUCGCACUUGACGGCCAUGUCCGUCUCGGCCUCCUGGACGAUGCCGCUGAGCUCCUCGCUCCGCGACAGGCCUUGCUGGAUCCGCACGCCCAGGGAGGAGUACUGCGGAACAGGCAAAAUUGCAAGUUACCUGGGUGCCCCUUGCACAGUUCGUACAGCUAUUUAUGCAGCUUUUUAUAACGCUUUUCUAGCUUGAGUGCAUGAGGAUCGUAAUGGACUGAGAUGAUGAAGUUAAACGCCUUUUUUCGUUUUGUGGUGAGUAUAUGACAUCGUCCUUCCGUUAGUGAUAAUGAAAAGCUUUGAAGUGGGUCAGACUAGGGUGAGGCGUGCAGACUGCCAUGACGAGGAACAGCCGCGGCUCCCAGCCAAGACAGCCAGGCUGAGCAGCCGCGCGGUGCCCACAAGGGGGCAGCGGCGACACAAAAGCCCCAGUGUGUGUGUGUGUGUGUGAAUCCGCACACUGUUCCUUCGUACCCCUAGGACUGCAGGGGGGACACACGCUCCGGUGUACUGCUGGAGACCCCCCCGUGUCAUGCGCAUACAAACCGUUCAUGACCAUCUGCAAUACAGAGGGGGAAUUUUCAGGUUCAGAAAGUUUAAAUCCAGACCAGGUUUUUGUUUCAGCCAACCAGUUGCACAUGAAGAGUCACAGUCACAGAGUACUCAACUGGUUGGUUGAAACAACAUCUUGGUCUGGAUUUGCUAUUUAAAUUUAUCAAUUAAAUUUUCUUCAUAUAGUGCAUUUUCACAAUAUUACAUUGCCUCAAAGCGCUUCCCAUUAUCCCCGCCCAGAGCCUCCAGUGAGCAGCCAGCGGCGACAGUGACAAAGAAAAACUCCCUAGAAGGAAGAAACCAGUUUCUUCUGAUCUGGUUUUACACAAUGGUCUCACUGUGUGAAGGUUCUCUAACAAAUCUUCUCAGGUCAAUAUGUAUUGUGACAGUGUCCUUAGUAGCAGGGAUGCCUCGCUUGGCCAGGCAGAGGCUAAAGUUCUCACUGGGUACAGCAAUGUGUUCAGCUCUCAGUCUCCAUUACUCUGUCAUCAUGUCUGCUUCCAAUAUCUCUCCUUGUUAGAAAGCAACAGGGGCUGAUGGCCCUCUAGUGUCCAGCUGAGGAAGGGUGAUGAGGCAGGUAUCCUGACCGCAACCCCCUCAGACUCCUACCCGGGACAGCAGCUCCUGAAUUCCCUGGUCCUGAGACAAUGAGCGGCCCCUCUCCCUCGCUGUGUCAUUGAGCAUCACCACGGCCUCCCGGAGCUCCUCCACGGGGUCACCGAUGUCCUCCAUAAGAGGGACGCCAGCCGGGCCUGUGAGGGAAGGCCGCUCCUCCAGGUCAGGCUGGAGAGGCUAGGAGGGGGUUCAACAGAUUAACAACAAGGUAAUAGGUCCCUCCUCCCAUCAGUCAUCCCAUCCCCAGGCGAGAAGUUCCUCCCACCUGGCCUGGGUUGUCGCCAUGGCUUCCAUGCAGCGCCUGGCCCUCCUCCAGUUCCACACGCUCCAGGAACUCUGUGAGCAUGCGUGUGUCCUGCAGCUCGGCACUCUGCUGUGUUAGGGCGCUGUGCACGCUGCGGUACCUGAAUGAGAGGCCAAGAUCCAUCAGCCAAUGGGGCGGCACCAUCCACCCCUGGAAAACCCCUGUUAAAGGCAAGAACAUUUCGGCGUACUCGCCUUCAAGGUGAGAUGCACCUGAUGUUUUUUCUUUUACUUACUCGGGGAACGCCUAAGCUGCACAGGCUGUGAGACAUUACCCUCAACAGUUUUACAAUAAGCCCCUCCCACUCUCUGCUUUCAUAUUCCUCCUGUACUGAUCUUAUAUAUUUAUUCUGAGUUUGACCAAGAGGCAAGCUGCGUCAUGCCAAUCUAAGGUCAUGAUGGGAAAUCCCCGAGUCCGGGAUUAGCUUUAUGACAACCAUGCCAAUCGCAUCAAUGAGGUCCCUGGAUGGUGAAACGGCAAACAAAUUACGUCAAUUGACCAAAUCCAAAAAAAAAAAAUCCACAUGUAAAAAUUCUAUCCUGAAGUGGCUUUUUCCUUCAUUUUUUUUUCAAACGCGCUCCCUGGAAACCGAUAAAUGGAGCCUUUUCUUCCAUGUUGUUUUCUUUGGGACGGUCUCUGUCUCCAACAGAGCGUGUCUUGUGUUUAUAGAUGCCCAUAUAGAAAUGUGUCUACUAGAACACCUCGCCUUGUAUACUGUGACAAGGGCCACCAGAUAAACAUCUCCUGACCAAACUCAACGCCGUAAUAUUCAAAUGCGCGAACACCGUCUCCACCGAAACACAGACCGUCCAUCUUUGAUGAACAGCUUAUGAAUCCAUUACGACUGAUGGUCUAUGUGAUUACCAGAGAUAUAUUAGCCAGUUAGAAAACUGGGAUGAGUUACUUUCUCAGUAUGGGGGAGAACAGGAGACUCAGUGCCAACUGCAUGAAUUAUUACCCUAUUUGCACGUACUAUAAAUGAUAGAGUAUGAAUUAAAAAAAGUUUCAUAGAGAGAAUUUUUUUGUUAUGUGAGUGUCCUGGAAUCUGCUCAACUAUUAUCUAUAGUCUACGGUUCAUGCUGCGGAUUUAGGCCAAAACGGAUUUAGGUCGGUCGUUGGAAGGAGUGAUAGAACACGUAAUUCUUAACCUCUAUUCCGCUGAAAUCGAGAUCUGACACCGAUCUCCUUGCAGAUGGAUGUCUGAGUUUCUGAGAUACGAAAACCCUGGCUGUAACCACGAAACGGGACACCAUCCUUUUUACAUCGUAUGGUCAUAGGUUUGUAUUAUUCGCCUUUCCAGGGGGUGUGAUCAGCUAACUACCGCCAUACUGUAAAGGUACCCACUUCUCCUCCACCUCGGCCAUGCGUGCCGGGAGCCGCUCAGCGUGGGCGUGACGGCGGCAGCGCAGCUUGUCCACUUCCUGCCGCAGCACACACAGCUCCAGGCCCCGGGAUGACACCUCCCUCUCCAGCAGACAGCUCUCCCGCUCGGCCGCGCUCAUGGAUUCGGGGUCUCCAGCGAGUGAGGACUGCCGGAUGGAGCACUCCACCGACUGCAGCCAAGUCUCCAGGGUGUUCAGGUCCUUCAGGACGUUCAUGGCCUGUUCGGGGGUGGGAGGAGGAGCAAAGGUGGGAGGGAGGAUAUUUGGUAGAAGUUUGAGAGGUGUUUGCUCACAUGCCUCAUUCUGCAAACAACUGGAAAAUUCUUCUAAUUUUAUUGCGAAGCCAAGGGCUUGUAAUUCGUCUUUGAAGAUGGAGGUUCAAGUGAGGACUGAGAAGAGAGAUAAGCAAAUUUUGAGCAAUCAAGGUCAAGUUCUGUUUUUCUUGCAGUAAAACGCCGGACCCGACCUGAUCUGAGUCAGAACUGGGGCUGGCCGGCUUUUGUCUGCCUCCUCACACCAUCAUAAAAACUUUGUGUAAUGCCAGUUGGUAGACUUGGCCUCCAAAAAAGAAUAACUUUUGUGGAAAACGCCCAUGGCAUAAAGGCGUCGCGGCAAGGCCAGGCGCCGUCUUCGGGGUGGGGGGGCUUUCCUCUAGGUUAGUGUUUCCCAAUCUCGUCUGGGAGCAAAAAUGUGAACUGUCUGGAAGGGAGCUCAGAGGGAUCAGAAACGUGGACUGGCUGUGGGUCUCCGAGGACCGGAUUGGCAAACGCUGCUCUAGACUGGUAUUGGACGGGCUGUUUCUUAUACAGCUGGAUGCAGUGCCAGAAUGACAUGAACAGUGCAUUGCUGCUGGUCAGCCUACCUUCAGGUUGAGCUUCUCUGACUCUUGCAGCACUACCACGUUCCUCUGGUGCCUCCUCUUUAGCUCCUCCCACAGCGCCUCCAGCUGGCCCAGGAACUCCUCGAUCUUGGCACUCCCGGGAUGCUGGGCUCGAACCAGACUCCGACCCUCCUGUAAAAGGCCAUUCGUGUACAGGAUCGUCUUCCAGGUGGAGGUGGCAGCUCAUGGUAGUAACUAAGGAACCGGAUAGCCUGAUUUUUAUAUUUAAAUUACAGAUGAAGCAAAGCUCUUGGGCCACAGAGCGUGGUGUUUCAGUCACAUUUGCAAACUCUUGCUGCUCAUUUGUAAGAUCCCCCUUGGGUUAAAGGAUUAGCUAAGCAACAUGUGUCUUAUUACAAAGGUCUAUAUUCACGUCUACUCCAUCCAAUGUUUCGUACAUGAAAGAGGGAGUCAGGCAGCUGUGCUAUGUUCUGUUAGCAUUUGACCUGAUGAUGAACUUCAUUGAGAUAUUUGGCCUGUGUCGGUAUGAUGUUGCAAGUUCUACUGAAUUAAAUACCUUUCUGAAA